UACAGAGGGUGCAAGCGUUGUUCGGAAUUACUGGGCGUAAAGCGCGUGUAGGCUGCAAUGUAAGUCGGAUGUGAAAGCCCUCAGCUUAACUGAGGAAGUGCAUCUGAUACUGCAUCGCUUGAGUGUCGGAGGGGAUGGCGGAAUUCCUGGUGUAGCGGUGAAAUGCGUAGAUAUCAGGAGGAACACCUGUGGCGAAAGCGGCUCACUGGACCAUAACUGACGCUGAUGCACGAAAGCUAGGGGAGCAAACAGG
rnacentral:rRNA from 1 species